AUUUCUUUUAGAGGAGGAGAGUUGUAACACCCCGGUGUAAUGAGGCUACAGUAAUCCCUGAGAUCAAGCUAAUCUUUUUGCUAUAACAGUGCUUGGUCACUUUGAUCAAUAUUCCAUUUCAAAUUCCAGUUGAAUUCAAUUUGAAUUUAUGAGUGAAAUUCAAAAAUGCUCAGACAUGAAAACUAAAAUGUUCAUCAUGUGGAACAUAUUAUUCUGGUAAUAUUGGUGUUGGUCCAACAUUUUUUUUCAAAGUGUCUAAAUGACCUAUGAUAGCUAAAGCAGAAAAGCUUUAAAAAAAAGAAAAGAAAAAGGGAAAGCAAGGAGAAAAGGAAAAUGGCCAGAGUCCCUGGCCUCCCAUUGGGCCUCGGCCCACCCCAGCUAGGCCGGCCCGCUCCCCCUCCCCGGUCAUCCCUCUCCUCUCUGUUCACGCGAUCGAGCCUCCCACCUCAUUCCCACCGGACCCGGCGCGGCGCCCUGCGCUGCCACGUCGCCGGCGAGGGGAUAAGGGCAGCCCCGAUGCCUCGGGCUCCCUCCCCACUCACCCACUUGCCCCUCUCUCCCUCGUCGAUCUCUCUUCCUGCUCGCUCACUCCCCUCUCUCUGACCCGAGCGCGCCCGCUGCCAUCUUCCGUUGUCACCGCGGCCACCGGAGCCGUCUCGUCCUCCUGACUUGUCCACCAGCACCGUCGACGUCUUCUCCCUCUUGCCCGGCCUCGCGUCCGAGCCGGAGGCCACUACAUUGCCCGGAUCGAGCCGACGACCACCGUGGAUCGCCGAAGCUCCUCCGCUCCGUCCGUCGCCGACUCCGUCGACCCGCUGCGCUCCUAAGCAUCCAAGGGCCACCGUGAGCCGCAUCGUAAGCUGCCGCACCGAACCCGUCUCUUUCUCCUCUCUCCCCGCGGUCGCAAUCGUCGUUCUUCUUCAUGGCCGAACCGCCGCCGCGCCGUUCGUCACCGUCGUUUCGGUCGACAUUGAGCUCGACCGAGUUCGCGGCCGUGCUCCUCGACGCCGUAGGGACCCGUAGCGCCCUCCAGUUCGUGCAACCGCCCUCUCUAGCGUCGAUUCCGCCAUUGCCCGGAAGCCGCCGCCACUGCAACUCGUUGCCGACGCCCUUUCCGGCCUCCCCAGCUACUGCCGCCGCCGCCACUCGACGUGGUUCGUUCACCGCGUCUGCACGGCGCCUCUCGCGCGUCAAAUAGGCCACGGACGGCUAUUUCCGAACCUCGCCGGUGAUGCGCUGCCGUGAAAUGGCCCGCCGGAGUUACUCCGGUCACCAGCGCCGGCGUGGGCUCACGUGGACGCCUGGGGCCCGUCCCCUGAGCCACUGACCGUGGGCCCGUGGGGCCUGUUGACUGAGUUGGCUCAGUCAACUCUGCUGACUGGGCACCCCCUUGUCAAUGACAGGCGGGGCCCUCCCACUAAUUAAUUUUGGUGUUUUUUUAACCUUUCAUUAUCCUAAGCAGCCACUGACACCCGGGGCCCGCCCCCCUUAAUUAGGUCUGUUUAAGUAAACUGAACUCUGUUAGCUCUGUGUCAAUGACAUGUGGGUCCCAUUGGACCCACAGGUCAGUUUUGACUUGGUCAGCGAGUCUGUUGACCUGUUGAUGUCAUGCUGACACCUUGCUGACGUCAUAUUCCUUUUCUGUUAAUUCUAGAAAAUUGUUUAAUCUUUAGAAAUUCAUAGAAAGUAAACCGUACCUCGGAUGAAAAUGUUUUCUACAUGAAAGUUGCUCAGAAAAAUCCAACGAAUCCGAAUACGCGGUUCGUUCAUUUGUCACAUGCCCCUAGCAUGAUGAACAUGGAACAUUCCCCCUCCGGUCAUCUGUUUGAUACAGGUCCGGAACCGGGAAUGCAUUCCCGGUUGAAUUCCCCCUUCACCUUUAUCGUGUAGCCAUACGUUAGGUCACACCCGGCACAACAUAUUGCCAUGUUAUGCUUUGUGAUGCUAUGCUUGCUUUAUAUUUAUUGUUUCUUCCCCCUCUUUUCUCCGGUAGACCCCGAGACCGAUGCCGCCCCUGUGAUCGACUACGUCGACGACGACCCCUCCUUGCUAGAGCAACCAGGCAAGCCCCCCCUUUGAUCAUCCCGAUAUCGCCCAUUCCAUUCUCUGAUGCUUGCAUUAGAUUUUGCUACUAUAAUUGAUUGCUCCUAUUCUGAUGCAUAGCCUGCUUUUGUAACCUGCUUAUUGUUACCUACCUGCUUAUCCUAAACUGCUUAGUAUAGGUUGGUUAGUGAUCCAUCAGUGACCCCCACCUUGUCCUUGUUGCCCCUGCUUCAUCAUCGAAGACCCGAUCAAUGGGAUCGAAGGCCAGGCCCCAGCACCGCACAUCACUUUUGUUGGGGAACGUAGUAAUUUCAAAAUUUUCCUACGCAGACGCAAGAUCAUGGUGAUGCAUAGCAACGAGAGGGGAGAGUGUUGUCCACGUACCCUCGUAGACCGAAAGCGGAAGUGUUAUCACAACGCGGUUGAUGUAGUCGUACGUCUUCACGAUCCGACCGAUCAAGUACCGAACGGACGACACCUCCGAGUUCAGCACACGUUCAGCUCGAUGACGUCCCUCGAACUCCGAUCCAGCCGAGUGUUGAGGGAGAGUUUCGUCAGCACGACGGCGUGGUGAUGAUGAUGAUGUUCUACCGACGCAGGGCUUCGCCUAAGCUCCGCAACGAUAUUAUCGAGGUGUAAUAUGGUGGAGGGGGCACCGCACACGGCUAAAAUAUCGUAUAUCAAUUGUGUGUCUAGAGGUGCCCCCCUGCCCCCGUAUAUAAAGGAGCAAGGGGGAGGCCGGCUGCCCUUGGGGCGCGCCAAGGAGAGGGGGGGGGGAAUCCUCCUCCUAGUAGGAGUAGGACUCCCCUUUCCUAGUCCAACUAGGAAGAGAGAGGGGGAAGGAAAGAGAGGGAGAGGGAGAGGGAAAGAGGGGCCGCGCCCCCUCCCCUAGUCCAAUUCGGACUUCUCAUGGGAGGGGGCGCACCACCUCCUAGCUGCUACCCUCUCUCUCCCCUCAGGCCCACUAAGGCCCAAUACUUGCCCGGGGGGUUUCGGUAACCCCUCUGGCACUCCGAUUUUAUCCGAAACUUCUCCGGAACACUUCCGGUGUCCGAAUAUAGUCGUCCAAUAUAUCAAUCUUUAUUUCUCGACCAUUUCGAGACUCCUCGUCAUGUCCGUGAUCACAUCCGGGACUCCGAACAACCUUCGGUACAUCAAAACAUAUAAAGUCAUAAUAUAACUGUCAUCGUAACGUUAAGCGUGCGGACCCUACGGGUUCGAGAACUAUGUAGACAUGACCGAGACACCUCUCCGGUCAAUAACCAAUAGCGGAACCUGGAUGCUCAUAUUGGUUCCUACAUAUUCUACGAAGAUCUUUAUCGGUCAGACCGCAUAACAACAUACGUUGUUCCCUUUGUCAUCGGUAUGUUACUUGCCCGAGAUUCGAUCGUCGGUAUCUCGAUACCUAGUUCAAUCUCGUUAUCGGCAAGUCUCUUUAUUCGUUCCGUAAUACAUCAUCCCGCAACUAACUCAUUAGUCACAAUGCUUGCAAGGCUUAUAUGUGAUGUGUAUUACUGAGUGGGCCCAGAGAUACCUCUCCGACAAUCGGAGUGACAAAUUCUAAUCUCGAAAUACGCUAACCCAACAAGUACCUUUGGAGACACCUGUAGAGCACCUUUAUUAUCACCCAGUUACGUUGUGACGUUUGGUAGCACACAAAGUGUUCCUCCGGUAAACGGGAGUUGCAUAAUCUCAUAGUCAUAGGAACACGUAUAAGUCAUGAAGAAAGCAAUAGCAACAUACUAAACGAUCGUGUGCUAAGCUAUCGGAAUGGGUCAAGUCAAUCACGUCAUUCUCCUAAUGAGGUGAUCUCGUUAAUCAAAUGACAACUCAUGUCUAUGGCUAGGAAACAUAACCAUCUUUGAUUAACGAGCUAGUCAAGUAGAGGCAUACUAGUGACACUCUGUUUGUCUAUGUAUUCACACAUGUAUUAUGUUUCCGGUUAAUACAAUUCUAGCAUGAAUAAUAAACAUUUAUCAUGAUAUAAGGAAAUAAAUAAUAACUUUAUUAUUGCCUCUAGGGCAUAUUUCCUUCAGUCUCCCACUUGCACUAGAGUCAAUAAUCUAGUUCACAUCGCCAUGUGAUUUAACAUCAAUAAUUCACAUCACCAUGUGAUUAACACCCAUAGUUCACAUUGUCAUGUGACCAACACCCAAGGGGUUUACUAGAGUCAAUAAUCUAGUUCACAUCGCUAUGUGAUUAACACCCAAAGAGUACUAAGGUGUGAUCAUGUUUUAAUUGUGAGAUAAUUUUAGUCAACGGGUCUGUCACAUUCAGAUCCGUAAGUAUUUUGCAAAUUUCUAUGUCUACAAUGCUCUGCACGGAGCUACUCUAGCUAAUUGCUCCCACUUUCAAUAUGUAUCUAGACCGAGACUUAGAGUCAUCUAGAUUAGUGUCAAAACUUGCAUCGACGUAACCCUUUACGAUGAACCUUUUGUCACUUCCAUAAUCGAGAAACAUAUCCUUUAUUCCACUAAGGAUAAUUUUGACCGCUGUCCAGUGAUCUACUCCUAGAUCACUAUUGUACUCCCUUGCCAAGAUCAGUGUAGGGUAUACAAUAGAUCUGGUACACAGCAUGGCAUACUUUAUAGAACCUAUGGCCAAGGCAUGGGGAAUGACUUUCAUUCUCUUUCUAUCUUCUGCCGUGGUCGGGCAUUGAGUCUUACUCAAUUUCACACCUUGUAACAGAGGCAAGAACUCUUUCUUUGACUGUUCUAGUUUGAACUACUUCGAAAUCUUGUUAAGGUAUGUACUCAUUGAAAAAACUUAUCAAGCGUCUUGAUCUAUCUCUAUAGAUCUUGAUGCUCAAUAUGUAAGCAGCUUCACCGAGGUCUUUCUUUGAAAAACUCCUUUCAAACACUCCUUUAUGCUUUGCAGAAUAAUUCUACAUUAUUCCCGAUCAACAAUAUGUCAUUCACAUAUACUUAUUAGAAAUGCUGUAGUGCUCCCACUCACUUUCUUGUAAAUACAGGCUUCACCGCAAGUCUGUAUAAAACUAUAUCCUUUGAUCAACUUAUCAAAGCGUAUAUUCCAACUCCGAGAUGCUUACACCAGUCCAUAGAUGGAUCGCUGGUGCUUGCAUAUUUUGUUUAGCACUUUUAGGAUUGACAAAACCUCCUGGUUGCAUCAUAUACAACUCUUCUUUAAUAAAUCCAUUAAGGAAUGCAGUUUUGUUUAUCCAUUUGCCAUAUUUCAUAAAAUGCGGCAAUUGCUAACAUGAUUCAGACAGACUUAAGCAUAGAUACGAGUGAGAAACUCUCAUCGUAGUGAACACCUUGAACUUGUCGAAAACCUUUUUGCGACAAUUCUAGCUUUGUAGACAGUAACACUACUAUCAGCGUCCGUCUUCCUCUUGAAGAUCCAUUUAAUCUCAAUGGCUCGCCGAUCAUUGGGCAAGUCAAUCAAAGUCCAUACUUUGUUCUCAUACAUGGAUCUCAUCUCAGAUUUCAUGGCCUCAAGCCAUUUUGCGGAAUCUGGGCUCACCAUCGCUUCUUCAUAGUUCGUAGGUUCGUCAUGGUCUAGUAACAUAACCUCCAGAAUAGGAUUACCGUACCACUCUGGUGCGGAUCUUACUCUGGUUGACCUACGAGGUUCAGUAAUAACUUGAUCUGAAGUUCCAUGAUCAUCAUCAUUAACUUCCUCAUUAAUUGGUAUAGGCGUCACAGAAACUGGUUUCUGCGAUGAACUACUUUCCAAUAAGUGAGCAGGUACAAUUACCUCAUCAAGUUCUACUUUCCUCCCACUCACUUAUUUCGAGAGAAACUCCUUCUCCAGAAAGAUUCUGAAUUUUGCAACAAAAGUCUUGCCUUUGGAUCUGUGAUAGAAGGUGUACCCAACAGUCUCCUUUGGGUAUCCUAUGAAGACACAUUUCUCCGAUUUGGGUUUGAGCUUAUCAGGAUGAAACUUUUUCACUUAAGCAUCGCAACCCCAAACUUUAAGAAACGACAACUUUGGUUUCUUGCCAAACCACAGUUCAUAAGAUGUCGUCUCAACGGAUUUAGAUGGUACCCUAUUUAAUGUGAAUGCAGCUGUCUCUAAUGCAUAACCCCAAAACGAUAGUGGUAGAUCGGUAAGAGACAUCAUAUAUCGCACCAUAUCUAAUAAAGUACGGUUACGAUGUUCGGACACACCAUUACACUGUGGUGUUCCAGGUGGCGUGAGUAGUGAAACUAUUUCACAUUGUUUUAACUGAAGGCCAAACUCGUAACUCAAAUACUCUUCUCCACGAUCAGAUCGUAGAAACUUUAUUUUCUUGUUACGAUGAUUUUCCGCUUCACUCUGAAAUUAUAUGAACUUUUCAAAUGUUUCAGACUUCUGUUCCAUUAAGUAGAUAUACCCAUAUCUUCUCAAAUCAUCUGUGAAGGUCAGAAAAUAAUGAUACCUGCUACGAGCCUCAAUUUUCAUCGGACCACAUACAUCUGUAUGUAUGAUUUCCAACAAAUCUGUUGCUCUCUCCAUAGUUCCGGAGAACGGCGUUUUAGUCAUCUUUCCCAUGAGGCACGGUUCGCAAGCAUCAAGUGAUUCCAAAAUCCCAUCAAUAUGGAGUUUCUUCAUGCGCUUUACACCAAUAUGACCUAAACGGCAGUGCCACAAAUAAAUUGCACUAUCAUUAUUAACUUUGCAUCUUUUGGCUUCAUUAUUAUGAAUAUGUGUAUCACUACGAUCGAGAUCCAACAAACCAUUUUAUUGGGUGUAUGACCAUAGAAGGUUUUAUUCAUGUAAACAGAACAACAAUUAUUCUCUAAUUUAAUUGAAUAACCGUAUUGCAACAAACAUGAUCAAAUCAUAUUCAUGGUCAACGCAAACACCAAAUAACACUUAUUUAGUUUCAACACUAAUCCCGAAAGUAUAGGGAGUGUGCGAUGAUGAUCAUAUAUAUCUUGGAACUACUUCCAACACACAUCGUCACCUCGCCUUUUACUAGUCUCUGUUUAUUCUGCAACUCCCGUUUCGAGUUACUACUUUAGCAACUGAACCGGUAUCAAAUACCGAGGGGUUGCUAUAAACACUAGUAAAGUACACGUCAAUAACAUGUAUAUCCAAUAUACCUUUGUUCAUUUUGCCAUCCUUCUUAUCCACCAAAUAGUUGGGGUAGUUCCGCUUCCAGUGACCAGUUCCUUUGCAGUAGAAGCACUUAGUCUCAGGCUUAGGACCAGACUUAGGCUUCUUCACUUGAGCAGCAACUUGCUUGCCGUUCUUCUUGAAGUUCCCCUUCUUCCCUUUGCCCUUUCUUGAAACUAGUGGUCUCGUCAACCAUCAACACUUGAUGUUUUUCUUGAUUUCUACCUUCGUCGAUUUCAGCAUCACGAAGAGCUCGGGAAUUACUUUCGUCAUCCCUUGCAUACUAUAAUUCAUCACGAAGUUCUACUAACUUGGUGAUGGUGACUAGAGAAUUCUGUCAAUCACUAUUUUAUCUGGAAGAUUAACUCCCACUUGAUUCAAGCGAUUGUAGUACCCAGACAAUCUGAGCACAUGCUCACUGCUUGAGCUAUUCUCCUCCAUCUUUUAGCUAUAGAACUUGUUGGAGACUUCAUAUCUCUCAACUCGGGUAUUUGCUUGAAAUAUUAACUUCAACUCCUGGAACAUCUCAUAUGGUCCAUGACGUUCAAAACGUCUUUGAAGUCCCGAUUCUAAGCCGUUAAGCAUGGUGCACUAAACUAUCAAGUAGUCAUCAUAUUGAGCUAGCCAAACAUUCAUAACGUCUGCAUCUGCUCCUGCAAUAGGUCUGUCACCUAGCGGUGCAUCAAGGACAUAAUUCUUCUGUGCAGAAAUGAGGAUAAUCCUCAGAUCACGGAUCCAAUCCACAUCUUUGCUACUAACAUCUUUCAACAUAAUUUUCUCUAGGAACAUAUCAAAACAAACACAGGGAAGCAACAACGUGAGCUAUUGAUCUACAACAUAAUUUGCAAAAAUACUAUCAGGACUAAGUUCAUGAUAAAUUUAAGUUCAAUUAAUCAUAUUACUUAAGAACUCCCACUUAGAUAGACAUCCCUCUAAUCCUCUAAGUGAUCACGUGAUCCAUAUCAACUAAACCAUGUCCGAUCAUCACGUGAGAUGGAGUAGUUUCAACGGUGAACAUCACUAUGUUGAUCAUAUCUACUAUAUGAUUCACGCUCGACCUUUCGGUCUCCGUGUUCUGAGGCCAUAUCUGCAUAUGCUAGGCUCGUCAAGUUUAACCUGAGUAUUCCGCGUGUGCAACUGUUUUGCACCCGUUGUAUUUGAACGUAGAGCCUAUCACACCCGAUCAUCACGUGGUGUCUCAGCACGAAGAACUUUCGCAACGGUGCAUACUCAGGGAGAACACUUUUAUUUUGAAAUUUUAGUGAGAGAUCAUCUUAUAAUGCUACCGUCAAUCAAAGCAAGAUAAGAUGCAUAAAAGAUUAACAUCACAUGCAAUCAAUAUAAGUGAUAUGAUAUGGCCAUCAUCAUCUUGUGCUUGUGAUCUCCAUCUCUGAAGCACCGUCAUGAUCGCCAUCGUCACCGGCGCGACACCUUGAUCUCCAUCGUAGUAUCGUUGUCAUCUCGCCAACUUAUUGCUUUUAUGACUAUCGCUACCGCUUAGUGAUAAAGUAAAACAAUUACAUGGCGAUUGCAUUGCAUACAAUAAAGCGACAACCAUAUGGCUCCUGCCAGUUGCCGAUAACUCGGUUACAAAACAUGAUCAUCUCAUACAAUAAAAUAUAGCAUCAUGUCUUGACCAUAUCACAUCACAACAUGCCCUACGAAAAGAAGUUAGACGUCCUCUACUUUGUUGUUGCAAGUUUUACGUGGCUGCUACGGGCUUAGCAAGAACCGUUCUUACCUACGCAUCAAAACCACAACGAUAGUUUGUCAAGUUGGUGCUGUUUUAACCUUCACAAGGACCGGGCGUAGCCACACUCGGUUCAACUAAAGUGAGAGAGACAAACACCCGCCGGCCACCUUUAAGCAACGAGUGCUCGCAACGGUGAAACCAGUCUCGUGUAAGCGUACGCGUAAUGUCGGUCCGGGCCGCUUCAUCUCACAAUACCGCCGAACCAAAGUAUGACAUGCUGGUAAGCAAUAUGACUUAUAUCGCCCACAACUCACUUGUGUUCUACUCGUGCAUAGCAUCAACGCAUAAUACCAGGCUCUGAUACCACUGUUGGGGAACGUAGUAAUUUCAAAAUUUUCCUACGCACACGCAAGAUUAUGGUGAUGCAUAGCAACGAGAGGGGAGAGUGUUGUCCACGUACCCUCGUAGACCGAAAGCGGAAGCGUUAUCACAACGCGGUUGAUGUAGUCGUACGUCUUCACGAUCCGACCGAUCAAGUACCGAACGGACGGCACCUCCGAGUUCAGCACACGUUCAGCUCGAUGAUGUCCCUCGAACUCCGAUCCAGCCGAGUGUUGAGGGAGAGUUUCGUCAGCACGACGGCGUGGUGACGAUGAUGAUGUUCUACCGACGCAGGGCUUCGCCUAAGCUCCGCAACGAUAUUAUCGAGGUGUAAUAUGGUGGAGGGGGGCACCGCACACGGCUAAAAUAUCGUAUAUCAAUUGUGUGUGUCUAGAGGUGCCCCCCUGCCCCCAUAUAUAAAGGAGCAAGGGGGAGGCCGGCUGCCCUUGGGGCGCUCCAAGGAGAGGGGGGGAGUCCUCCUCCUAGUAGGAGUAGGACUCCCCUUUCCUAGUCCAACUAGGAAGAGAGAGGGGGAAGGAAAGAGAGGGAGAGGGAGAGGGAAAGAGGGGCCGCGCCCCCCUCCCCUAGUCCAAUUCGGACUCCUCAUGGGAGGGGGCGCGCCACCUCCUGGCUGCUGCCCUCUCUCUCCCCUUAGGCCCACUAAGGCCGAAUACUUCCCCGGGGGGUUCCGGUAACCCGUCUGGCACUCCGGUUUUAUCCGAAACUUCUCCGGAACACUUCCGGUGUCCGAAUAUAGUCGUCCAAUACAUCAAUCUUUAUGUCUCGACCAUUUCGAGACUCCUCUUCAUGUCCGUGAUCACACCCGGGACUCCGAACAACCUUCGGUACAUCAAAACAUUUAAACUCAUAAUAUAACUGUCAUCGUAACGUUAAGCGUGCGGACCCUACGGGUUCGAGAACUAUGUAGACAUGACCGAGACACCUCUCCGGUCAAUAACCAAUAGCGGAACCUGGAUGCUCUUAUUGGUUCCUACAUAUUCUACGAAGAUCUUUAUCGGUCAGACCGCAUAACAACAUACGUUGUUCCCUUUGUCAUCGGUAUGUUACUUGCCCGAGAUUCGAUCGUCGGUAUCUCGAUACCUAGUUCAAUCUCGUUACCGGCAAGUCUCUUUACUCGUUCCGUAAUACAUCAUCCCGCAACUAACUCAUUAGUCACAAUGCUUGCAAGGCUUAUAUGUUAUGUGUAUUACUGAGUGGGCCCAGAGAUACCUCUCCGACAAUCGGAGUGACAAAUCCUAAUCUUGAAAUACGCCAACCCAACAAGUACCUUUGGAGACACCUGUAGAGCACCUUUAUUAUCACCCAGUUACGUUGUGACGUUUGGUAGCACACAAAGUGUUCCUCCGGUAAACGGGAGUUCCAUAAUCUCAUAGUCAUAGGAACAUGUAUAAGUCAUGAAGAAAGCAAUAGCAACAUACUAAACGAUCGUGUGCUAAGCUAACGGAAUGGGUCAAGUCAAUCACGUCAUUCUCCUAAUGAGGUGAUCCCGUUAAUCAAAUGACAACUCAUGUCUAUGGCUAGGAAACAUAACCAUCUUUGAUUAACGAGCUAGUCAAGUAGAGGCAUACUAGUGACACUCUGUUUGUCUAUGUAUUCACACAUGUAUUAUGUUUCCGGUUAAUACAAUUCUAGCAUGAAUAAUAAACAUUUAUCAUGAUAUAAGGAAAUAAAUAAUAACUUUAUUAUUGCCUCUAGGGCAUAUUUCCUUCAACUUUCCCCUUAGUUGCUCGACACUACUGGGUUACUAUCGAGUGCCGAGGGUGAGACCUCUACAGCACUUCUGAUGUUAACCCUGUAGUGUAGCUAUUCGGUCGUGGUCAUCGACGGUGAUUCCGCCUUAACCACUUCCGAUACGACUCUGUCGUGCAACCCCUCAAGUGUGAACCUCGGGGGUGAUUCCUCUUACGUUCACCUUGAUGAUUACAUCGAGUGGAAUUCACCGAGGGUGAUUCCUCGGGUUUUCCCCUUGAUGUUUGGACACACAGUUGCUAUGGUUACUAUGACUUUACACUGAACCAUGUUACUAAAGACGGGUCAGCCCUGAGGGGUACCCGCGCGGGCUUAAUUGCGAGUGAUGUGGAGACGGGUUGACCUGGAGGGUGCCCGUGAGAUAAUUACGAGGCGUGGUCGGGCAUUCCUAGCCCUUGCCGCAAGUCCUCGAGACAGGGCAACGGGGUCACAUCUUUCGUGAGUCUCUGCUUGUUACCGCGCAUUCCUAAUCCACUACGAUUUGGAUAUUUGAUCUGAGAGGCCUCUGGCCUGAUAGCACUAACCAUCACGUGGGCAUAGUAUGGGCGUUCUGCGUCGUAUACAUCAGCCGAAGCUUAAUAGACGUCAGCGACCGAGGGGCGCGCGCCGGGUUGGACUGGUAAGCUCCUGCCUUUUUAGGGAGGUAGCUAGGUCUGCUCACCGGCCGCGUUCGCAACGUGCAGGAGUUCCCGGGGCGAUGGCCCAUGACCCUUGGGGGCAUAGGUUUAGUCCGGCGUGCUGACCUCUCUAUUAAUCCUAGGUCGGGUUGCAGUGUAUUGUUUGACCGAGGCCGGGCAUGACCCAGGAAAGUGUGUCCGGCCGGAGUUAAUCGAGCAUGGUGGGUAAGUUGGUGCACCCUGCAGGGAAGAAAACAUCUAUCGAUAGCCUGUCCUACGGUAACAGACACUUGGAGUUGUAUCCCGAUCGAUACAACUAGAACUGGAUACUUGUGAUGAGUAAUGGCUUGUGAUGAUAACUGGAUAGUAUGGCUCUGGGAUUGGUUUCUCGCAGGGAGUCGAGAAAGGAUCUCUGGCCGAGGUUGAUAUCACUACUACUACUUUACUUUAUGCUACUCUACUCCCUCCUGUUGCUGCAAGUUGGUGGUUUCUAGAAGAUGCUAGUCUUUGAAAGGCUAGGCUUUCCCCUUCUCUUCUGGCAUUCUGCAGUUCAGUCCACAUAUACUACCCUUUUCAUUGAUACCGAUGCAUAUGUAGUGUAGAUCCUUGCUUGCGAGUACUUUGGAUGAGUACUCAUGGUUGCUUUGCUCCCCCUUUUCCCCCUUUGUUCUUCUUUCCGGUUGAUGCAACCAGAUGUCGGAGCCCAGGAGCCAGAUGCCACCGCCGAUGCUUACUACUACGUGGAGGCCGCCGAUGACCAGGAGUAGUUAGGAGGCUCCCAGGCAGGAGGCCUUGCCUUUUCGAUCGUAAAUGCUUUUGUGCUGGCCUUCUUAAGGCAAACUUGUCUAACUUAUGUCUGUACUCAGAUAUUGUUGCUUCCGCUGACUCUUGUGUAUUCAGCUUAUGUAUUCGAGCCCUUGAGGCCCCUGGCUUGUAAUAUAAAGCUUGUAUUUUUUUAAUUUGUGUCUAGAGUUGUGUUGUGAUAUCUUCCCGUGAGUCCUUGAUCUUGAUCGUACACAUUUGCGUGUAUGAUUAGUGUACGAUUGAAUCGAGGGCGUCACAAGUUGGUAUCAGAGCCGACUGCCUGUAGGUAACCCCCUUUCCAACUCCUUGGCCGAAGUUGAGUCUAGUCAUUGAAAAACUUUUACUAACAUUGGCUGUGUGUCUUACGGGCCCACGUCGCCAUUGGGUGGUAUUAGGAUCUUUUACUCCUCGUCUAUGCUCUGGGACUCUGAUCUCUCUUCCAUUCGGGUUAAAGGAAUUUACUAACUCUAACAUUAGGAUCCCGUGACCACAUUCACCCCAAAGUUGGAUAAGCCAUAGUUAUUCCUUAGAAUAGUAUUCUGAAUAGUACACACAUUGUCGUGUUGACUACGAAGUGGUAUCCAUCGUACCUCUUUCAUUAUGCAUGUUUCAUCAUGAAUGAUCCUUGUCUUUGCAAAUGCUCAAUGCUGAACUACCCCCUGUUACUUGUUACCAGGACGGUUAGACCUGCUGGUCGUGGCUGUGGUGCCAACGAUCCACCACCACCCGAAUUCUUUGCUGGAAUGAUGCAACAAUUUGAGCUGAACCGCCAGUUCAUGGAAGGAAUGAUGGAUCAGUUUCCUCGUCCGAACAUGAAUCAACAACCAACCCCAGUAACUCUGCAGGACUUCAUGCGCCUCAACCCAACUAUUUACCGCAGCUCAACUCAGCCCCUUGAUGCUGAUGACUGGCUCCGCGACAUCACGUAUGAAAUGGAGUCUGCUAGUGUGGCCCCUGCUAGCUACGUCACCUUUGCAUCUUUCUUUUUGAAGGGUCCCGCUGCUCAAUGGUGGGACAGCCACAGGCGUACCCUACGUGCUGGAACGGUCAUCACUUGGCCGGAUUUCCAAGUCGCUUUCCGUGCCCGCUUCAUUCAUCAGGAAAUCAUGGACAAGAAGAAGCGAGAGUUCUGCAACCUCAUCCAAGGCAACAAGUCCUUAGAUGUUUGUCAACAGGAAUACCUGGACUUGUCACGUUAUGCUGAAGAAGACAUUGCUACUGAUGCUCGUAAGCAAGAGAAGUUUCAUGAUGGUCUUCACCCUGAUAUCAAGCUAGCACUGCUCGUUCAUGACUUUGCCGACUUCGCCACCUUGGUGAACAAGGCUAUUCAGGUCGAGACUUGUCUUCAGGAACACCAGGGAUCCCUCAGGCGCAGCCGUGACGCUGGCUCAUCUUCGGGCCUGUCAGCGCGGAAGCGUCGGAUAUGGAUUCCCCACAGCAUGUAUCGUCCAACUGCACCUGCACCAAGACAGUCCUAUGCUGCACCUCGUCUUCCCCCUCCACCGCAGAGGCAGCCCCUUCGGGCUGUACCACCCCAAGCUUCUGCUCCCAACCCCAAUGAUGGUCUAUGCUUCAAGUGUGGCCUUCCAGGUCACCGCUCCAGGAAAUGUCCUCAGAAUCAGAACCAGCUGGCUCUUCCUGCUGCGGGUCGUGGUAACAAUCAACCCCGCAACAACAAUGCCCGACCUUAUGGUCGUGGGCAGGCUAACAACAUUGAUCUGAAUGAAGCUCAAGACCAGCCUGCUACUGUGAUGGGUACUCUCCUUGUUAAUUCAGUACCAGCUUCAGUUUUAUUCGAUUCAGGGGCAUCACAUUCAUUCAUGUCAGAAAAUUUUGCAUACGCACACAACAUUCGAUGCGAGCCCAUGAACACUCCAAUAGUGGUAUGCACCCCUGCGGGCCGAUGUCAAACUACCAUGAUUGGUCGCGACGUUCCUGUUGAAAUUGAAGGGUUGGAAUUCCUUGUUUCUCCCAUUAUUCUGGAGUCUUCCAAUAUUGACCUCAUUCUGGGAAUGGAAUGGUUGAAAGCACAUACUGUCUCUAUCGUUUGCGCCACCAAGGUCGUUCACCUCCUACAUCCUUCCGAUGAGAUAGUAACCUACCAUGCUCAGCUUGUUCAAAACGCUGAAGCGCGACUUUAUGCUUCGAAUGCGUUGAACGCAGCACCUCUUGAGGGAAUUGAAAAGAUUCCAGUCGUUCGCGACUUCCAAGACGUAUUUCCAGAAGAACUUCCAGGAAUACCCCCUGCCCGGGCUGUCGAGUUCGUCAUCGACUUGAAACCAGGCACCGUUCCUAUUGCCAAACGACCCUACAAGAUGCCGCCUCAUGAGCUCCUUGAACUUAAGGAUGAAAUCGACAAAUCUCUUCGCAAGGGUUUCAUUCGACCAAGUUCCUCUGCUUGGGGAGCACCUUCUCUCUUCAUCAAGAAGAAGGACGGUACGAACCGUUUGGUCCAAGACUAUCGUCCUAUCAACCAAGCUACAAUUCAGAACAAAUAUCCCCUUCCUCGGAUCAAUGAUCUGUAUGAUCAACUGGCUGGUUCAUCGAUAUUCUCUAAACUCGACUUGAGGUUGGGUUACCACCAGAUCCGUGUUCAUGAAGAGGAUAUUCCAAAGACCGCCUUCGUCACUCAUUAUGGUUCUUACGAGUACACCGUCAUGUCAUUCGGUUUAACCAAUGCUCCAGCUACAUUCUCUCGUCUGAUGAACUAUAUAUUCAUGGAUUACCUCGACAUGUUCGUCGUGGUCUAUCUGGAUGAUAUUCUGGUAUAUUCGAAGAACAAAGAAGAGCAUGCUGAACAUCUUUGACUUGUUCUAGAGAAGCUUCGAGAACAUCAACUUUAUGCCAAGUAUUCCAAGUGCGAAUUCUGGUUACCCGAAGUCACCUACCUUGGUCAUGUCAUCUCCAAGGAUGGUACUGCCGUCAACCCAGAGCGCGUUCAGGCUAUUCUUGACUGGACCCCUCCGAAGACUGUCAAGCAAGUCAGAAGCUUUCUCGGACUCGCCAGCUAUUGCCGCCGUUUCGUCGAGAACUUCUCCGAGAUCGCCAAGCCACUGACCAAUCUGCUACACAAGGGCGUUAAGUUUGAUUGGACAGACAAAUGUCAGGAAAGUUUCCAGGCACUCAAGGACAAGUUGACUUCUGCCCCAGUGCUUGCUCCCCCUGAUUCUCGCAAAGACUUCGUCAUCUAUUGCGACGCUUCACGACAAGGAUUAGGCUGUGUCCUAAUGCAAGAGCGCAGAGUGAUUGCUUAUGCCUCCCGUCAAGUGCAUGCUCACGAAGAGAACUACCCAGUUCACGACCUCGAGCUUGCUGCGGUUAUCUUUGCACUGAAGCUAUGGCAACAAUACCUUCUCGGUAAUCGUUGUGAGAUCUUCACCGAUCAUCAGAGUCUGAAGUACCUGUUUACUCAGCCAGAUCUGAACCUCCGUCAGCAGCGAUGGAUGGAAGCUAUUGCUGACUACAACUGCGGCAUAUCUUAUACCCCUGGCAAGGCUAAUGUAAUGGCCGAUGCCCUGAGCCGUAAGUCUUAUCGCAACAAUCACAUGGUCUUCAAAGCUCAACCCCGCCUUUAUGAAGAGCUAUGCAAGCUGAACCUUCAACUAGUUCCACAGGGUUCUCUGAAUAACCUUGUCCUAGAACCAACUCUUUUGAAAGCAAUUAAGUCUGCACAAGCCAAAGAUGCUCAUGUGGAUUUGAUGAAAAAGGAUCUUGCCUUAGAGAAAUCCAGAGAUUUCUCACUUGGGGAAGAUGGAACCUUGUACUUCAGAGAUCGCAUUGUAGUACCCCAGUUCAAGCUUAUGACAGAGAAGGUGAUGAAAGAAGCGCACGACACCCCUCUCUCUAUUCAUCCGGGAAGUACCAAGAUGUAUCUAGACAUCCGUCAGAAGUACUGGUGGUCUAAUAUGAAGCAAGACAUUGCUCGAUAUAUUGAAGAAUGUGACGUUUGUCGUCGCGUCAAAGCAGAACAUCAAAAAUCGGCUGGACUUCUACAACCGCUUCCGAUUCCUGAAUGGAAGUGGGAUAAGAUUCAGAAGGACUUCGUCACUGGCCUUCCCAAGUCUCAGAAAGGUAACGAUGCUAUCUUUGUUGUCAUCGACCAAUUCUCGAAGGUUGCUCACUUUCUGCCAGUCAAGGAGACUAUCACUACUAGUCAAUUAGCAAACUUGUAUAUCUCCAGAAUUGUGUCACUCCACGGCAUUCCGAAGGAGAUCAGUUCAGACCGCGGCAGUAUUUUCACUUCGAAGUUCUGGGAUAGUUUCCAAGAUGCAAUGGGAACUCAUAUUACCUGGAGCACUGCUUAUCAUCCCCAAUCCCAAGGCCAAGUCGAGCGAGUCAAUCAAAUUCUUGAAGACAUGCUUCAAGCUUGUGUUAUUUCUUUCGGCAAGAAGUGGGAAGAAUCUCUCCCUUAUGCGGAGUUCUCUUAUAACAACAGCUAUCAAGCCAACUUGAAGAUGGCACCCUUUGAAGUGCUUUAUGGACGUAAAUGCUGAACCCCUCUGAAUUGGUCAAAAACUGGGGAACGGACGCUCAUUGGUCCAGACAUUAUUCAACAAGCUGAAGAGCAGGUUCGCAUUGUCCGGGAUAAUCUUAAGGCGGCCCAGUCCCGCCAGAAGAGCAACUAUGACCGGAAACACUGGGGUUCAACUUAUCAACCUGGUGAACAAGCAUAUUUGCGUGUCACUCCUUUGAGAGGCACUCAUCGGUUCGGAGUCAAGGGCAAGCUAGCUCCGCGCUACAUUGGUCCUUUCCGCAUUCUCUCCCGUCAUGGACUGGUGGCUUAUCAAUUGGAGUUGGCACCUCAGUUCUCCCACGUUCAUGACGUCUUCCAUGUGUCGCAACUUCGUCGAUGCUUCAAGGAUCCGGAACGUGAAGUGGAUCCAGAAUUAAUUGAAGUUCAUGAUGAUCUCACAUACAAAGAGCAUCCGAUCCGCAUUCUUGAAGAAGCCGAACGUCGAACCCGCCAGAAGGUUACCAAGUUCCUCAAGGUGCAAUGGUCGAAUCAUACUAAAGAUGAAGCCACUUGGGAACGCGAAGAUAACCUCCGGGCUGAAUACCCCGACCUGUUCCCUUCAACCUCUUAAUUCUCGGGAUGAGAAUGUCUUUUAGAGGAGGAGAGUUGUAACACCCCGGUGUAAUGAGGCUACAGUAAUCCCUGAGAUCAAGCUAAUCUUUUUGCUAUAACAGUGCUUGGUCUCUUUGAUCAAUAUUCCAUUUCAAAUUCCAGUUGAAUUCAAUUUGAAUUUAUGAGUGAAAUUCAAAAAUGCUCAGACAUGAAAACUAAAAUGUUCAUCAUGUGGAACAUAUUAUUCUGGUAAUAUUGGUGUUGGUCCACCAUUUUUUUCAAAGUGUCUAAAUGACCUAAGAUAGCUAAAGCAGAA
rnacentral:lncRNA from 1 species